CCUUUAUGGAGAGUUUGAUCCUGGCUCAGGACGAACGCUGGCGGCGUGCCUAAUACAUGCAAGUCGAGCGGAGCUUAUCCUUCGGGAUAAGCUUAGCGGCGGACGGGUGAGUAACACGUAGGCAACCUGCCCCAUGAACUGGGAUAACUACCGGAAACGGUAGCUAAUACCGGAUAAUUCCUCUUUUCGCCUGAAGAGAGGAUGAAAGACGGAGCAAUCUGUCAUCAUGGGAUGGGCCUGCGGCGCAU
rnacentral:rRNA from 1 species